rnacentral:rRNA from 1 species
UACGUAGGGUGCGAGCGUUAAUCGGAAUUACUGGGCGUAAAGUGUGCGCAGGCGGCCGAGCAAGUCGAGUGUGAAAGCCCCGGGCUUAACUUGGGAAUUGCGCUCGAAACUACUUGGCUGGAGUGUGGUAGAGGAAGGUGGAAUUCCAGGUGUAGCGGUGAAAUGCGUAGAGAUCUGGAGGAACACCGAUGGCGAAGGCAGCCUUCUGGGCCAACACUGACGCUCAUGCACGAAAGCGUGGGGAGCAAACAGG